GAGGGUAUAGCUCAAUGGUGGAGCACAUACUUAUCAUGCAUGAGGUCCUGGGUUCAAUCCUCAGUACCUCCA
rnacentral:tRNA from 1 species